UUCUGGCUCAGGAUGAACGCUAGCUACAGGCUUAACACAUGCAAGUCAGGGGCAUCAUGGAGUUUGCUUGCAAACUCUGAUGGCGACCGGCGCACGGGUGAGUAACGCGUAUCCAACCUUCCCUAUAGUAGAGGAUAGCCCGGCGAAAGUCGGAUUAAUACUCUAUGUUUUCCGUUGCAGACAUCUAAGAUGGAACAAAGGCUUGCCGCUAUAGGAUGGGGGAUGCGUCUGAUUAGGUAGUCGGCGGGGUAACGGCCCACCGAGCCAUCGAUCAGUAGGGGUUCUGAGAGGAAGGUCCCCCACAUUGGAACUGAGACACGGUCCAAACUCCUACGGGAGGCAGCAGUGAGGAAUAUUGGUCAAUGGGCGAGAGCCUGAACCAGCCAAGUAGCGUGCAGGACGACGGCCCUAUGGGUUGUAAACUGCUUUUAUGCGGGGAUAAAGUUCACUACGUGUAGUGUUUUGUAGGUACCGCAUGAAUAAGGACCGGCUAAUUCCGUGCCAGCAGCCGC
rnacentral:rRNA from 1 species